UCCCUGUUACCAGGGCAGUCUAGCUAGAGAAAUACAACUAACUAAAAGGGUUGCGCUCGUUGAUGGACUUAACCAAACAUCUCACGACACGAGCUGACGACGGCCAUGCAACACCUGUCACUGCGUUCUAAAAGCACUUUUUCCUUUCGGAAAAAUUCGCAGGAUGUCAAGCCUGGGUAAGGUUCUUCGCUUACCAUCGAAUUAAACAACACGCUCCACCGCUUGUGCGGGUCCCCGUCAAUUCCUUUAUGUUUUAGUCUUGCGACCGUACUCCACAGGCGGGAUGCUUAACGCGUUAGCUUCGCUACGAGAAGGGUCGAUACUCCUCACAGCUAGCAUCCAUAGUUUACGGCGUGGACUAC
rnacentral:misc_RNA from 1 species